rnacentral:rRNA from 1 species
UAGGGAAUCUUCCGCAAUGGGCGAAAGCCUGACGGAGCAACGCCGCGUGAGUGAUGAAGGUCUUCGGAUCGUAAAACUCUGUUAUUAGGGAAGAACAUAUGUGUAAGUAACUGUGCACAUCUUGACGGUACCUAAUCAGAAAGCCACGGCUAACUACGUGCCAGCAGCCGCGGUAAUACGUAGGUGGCAAGCGUUAUCCGGAAUUAUUGGGCGUAAAGCGCGCGUAGGCGGUUUUUUAAGUCUGAUGUGAAAGCCCACGGCUCAACCGUGGAGGGUCAUUGGAAACUGGAAAACUUGAGUGCAGAAGAGGAAAGUGGAAUUCCAUGUGUAGCGGUGAAAUGCGCAGAGAUAUGGAGGAACACCAGUGGCGAAGGCGACUUUCUGGUCUGUAACUGACGCUGAUGUGCGAAAGCGUGGGGAUCAAACAGGAUUAGAUACCCUGGUAGUCCACGCCGUAAACGAUGAGUGCUAAGUGUUAGGGGGUUUCCGCCCCUUAGUGCUGCAGCUAACGUAUUAAGCACUCCGCCUGGGGAGUACGACCGCAAGGUUG